GUGCCAGCCGCCGCGGUAAUACCGGCAGCACGAGUGAUGGCCGCUAUUAUUGGGCCUAAAGCGUCCGUAGCCGGCCGGGCAAGUCCGUCGGGAAAUCCACCCGCUUAACGGGUGGGCGUCCGGCGGAAACUGCUCGGCUUGGGACCGGAGGACCCGAGGGGUACGUCCGGGGUAGGAGUGAAAUCCCGUAAUCCCGGACGGACCGCCGGUGGCGAAAGCGCCUCGGGAGGACGGAUCCGACGGUGAGGGACGAAAGCUAGGGUCUCGAACCGGAUUAGAUACCCGAGUAGUCC
rnacentral:rRNA from 1 species